rnacentral:pre_miRNA from 1 species
GAUAAUCUAGCGUGUGUCCAUGUGAUAAUCUAGUGUGUGUCCUUUUUACAAGUAGGACUAGAUUAUCACAUGGACACACACUAAAUUU